UUAAAUUGAAGAGUUUGAUCAUGGCUCAGAUUGAACGCUGGCGGCAGGCCUAACACAUGCAAGUCGAACGGUAACAGAAAGCAGCUUGCUGCUUUGCUG
rnacentral:rRNA from 1 species